rfam:Echinostoma caproni strain Egypt genome assembly, scaffold: ECPE_scaffold0010948
GGCCUCGUAGCUCAGCUGGUACAGCAUGCGCUUACAAAGCGUAGGCGCCGUCCAUGCGUGGUUUCAAAUCCCACCGAGGCUG